CCAGGUUAAGCACAGCCUUGCUGGUGUCAUCACUGUUACCAUCACCCUGUGCUCCUGGGUCCAGCUUUUGGAUACCUACAAAGAAUCCUUAAGCAGGCAGGGACCGAGACUGCUACGACUCCGGGCUGAGAUGCUGAACAGUGGCUUUGGGGACACAGGCCUGGAGACAGGGCAAGCAGGAAUCAGGCUGUCACAGCUGUGAACUGGGUCUCCGUGAAAACAAAGGACUUGAAGUUUUCCUGGGCAUAGCGGGCGCUGUCCUUGCGUGGGUCCAUGAAGACCACAUGGAAACGGG